rnacentral:rRNA from 1 species
UACGUAGGGUGCGAGCGUUGUCCGGAAUUAUUGGGCGUAAAGGGCUCGUAGGCGGUCUGUCGCGUCGGGAGUGAAAACUCAGGGCUUAACCCUGAGCCUGCUUCCGAUACGGGCAGACUAGAGGUAUGCAGGGGAGAACGGAAUUCCUGGUGUAGCGGUGGAAUGCGCAGAUAUCAGGAGGAACACCGAUGGCGAAGGCGGGUCUCUGGGCCGUAACUGACGCUGAGGAGCGAAAGCGUGGGGAGCGAACAGG